AUUGAACGCUGGCGGCAGGCCUAACACAUGCAAGUCGAGCGGAGCGGCGGACGGGUGAGUAAUGCCUAGGGAUCUGCCUGGUAGUGGGGGAUAACGUCCGGAAACGGGCGAUAAUACCGCAUACUAGCAGAUGAGCCUAGUUCGGAUUAGCUAGUUGGUGGGGUAAAGGCCUACCAAGGCGACGAUCCGUAACUGGUCUGAGAGGAUGCUCAGUCAUACUCGAACUGAGACACGGUCCAUACUCCUGCGGGAGGCGGCAGUGGGGAAUAUUUGACAAUGGGCGAAAGCCUGAUCAAGCCAGGCCGCGUGUGGGAAGUAGGUCUUCGGAUUGUAAAGCACUUUAAGUUGGGAGGCGUUACCCACAGAAUAAGCACCGGCUAACUUCGUGCCAGCAGCCGCGGUAAUAC
rnacentral:rRNA from 1 species